CCCUUUUUAGGGCUGCACCCAUGGCAUAUGGAAGUUCCCAGGCUAGGGGUCUAAUCGGAGCUGUAGCUACCAGCCUAUGCCAGAGCCACAGCAAUGCCAGAUCUGAGCUGUGUCUUCAACCUACACCACAGCUCAUGGCAACACCAGAUCCUUAACCCACUGAUCGAGGCCAGGGACUGAACCCGCAACCUCAUGGUUCCUCAUCAGAUUCAUUUCUGCUGCUCUAUGAUGGGAACUCCUCAAAAAUAUAUUUACUUUUAUCAGGGAGUUUUAUACUUUCAUAUGUUUUCCUGUUAUUAGUGUCCUUUUGUUUCAUCAUCAACUCCCAUAAACAAAUAUAUGUAAGGCCAGUCUAGUGAUGAUGAACUCCUUCAGCUUUUCUUUGUCUGGAAACCUCUUCAUAUUCCCUUAAAAUCUGAAGGAGAAUUUUGUUUGGUUGGCAAGUUUUUCUCUCAGUACUUUGAGUUCAUCAUCUCAUUCCCUCCUGACCUGUAACAUUUCUGCUGAAAUAUCUGCUGAUAGUCUUAGGGUGUAUGGUACAUGCAGGGGGACUAUAAGUCCUGGGUUUAGGGUAGUGGUGUGCCAGAGCCCAAGUCAUAGGAACACCUGGCUGCAACACUGGUAAUGUCAUGUGAGGUGCAGGUGUUUGUGGAGAGGCUAUGGAGUUGGGGUUUGGAACAUGGUCUGAGCAGAGUGGCCAGGGCUCUAGAGCAUAAGGUAUGCAGUGUAUUGGGGGUGGGUGGUCCUGCUCCCAGGACUGGGUAAUAGCAGAUCCUUCUUCCAGGGUGACAAAUAGCAGUGUCGCCCUUCAUGGGAUCUGUGGUGGCAAUGGCUGUUAGUUACCUUGAAACUGCCAGGAUCUUCCAUGUAGCAGGCUGCUGGGAUCCAAUGCUGAUGAACAUUAUGGAGUCCUUCACCAUGACAGGGAGUUGAGGUCCUCAGUGGCAAAGGCUGCUGGGGUCCUCUGUAGAACAGGCUGCUCGGUUCUGGUGGCAGAUAUCAUGAGAUUGAUACUGUUAAUCCCCACCUUUUGUCUUUGUUCCUACAAAGACAUCUCCAGGUAUCUCAGCUAUGCCAAUCUCCCCAGUGAGACUUUCUGUGUGGUUUUUCUGGUUUUUGCUCCCCUGUGUUGCUGCAGAUUCUUAAUUGGAGUCUUAAGCCCUCCCUGGGCGAUAUCAUUCAUGGAUGGGUAGCUAAUUGGCAUUUUUCCCCCCAUGGGAACAUGAAGGCUAGUGUCUCCUACUCUACAUCUUGCUGAUUUCAUUCUGCAUGAGUCCCUAUUUUAAGUUAAUCAAAUAACAUGGAAGUUCUUACCACAUCAAAGAGCUUCUGGAAUUCCCACUGUGGCUUGACAUAUUAAGGACCUGAGGUUGUUUGUCUCUGUGAGGAUGCACGUUCAAUCCCUGGCCUCACUCAGUGGGUUAAGGAUCUAGUGUUCUUGCAAGCUAAAUAGCUCUUAAUGGAAAUGGGCAAGAUAACUGGCUUUAGAAAUCUUUGUAACCUUACUGUCAUGCUCUGUAGAGCUUGAAAAGCCAUGUUGAUACAGUCCAUUACCAGUCUUAUAACCUAUGUUUUACUAACUUAUCAGGACCAUAUCUGGGGCAAGGGGGUCAAUGGAUAAAGUAAAACUUUUCUAUGUUUGGCCUCUGUGAUCACAGAGUCAGCCUGAGGUAGGCAUCCAGAAGCUCAUUCUUCCUCUGACUUUCAUUUUUGCCCUCACCUCACUUCUUCCCUACCUGACUCCUCUCCUGUUAGUUACACCCUGAAUGUGCCCCCUCAUGGUCAGGGUUGGAAAAGGGUUCUCCUGGUUCACGUGGUGGAUAAGUGUGGAUCCAUUCAGUGGGUUACUUCUUAUAGCAAUAGGAUCCACUCUAUCCCACCCCUCUCCCAUGACAUUUUCCAUUCUUCAAAUUGCAGUAUUAAGACAAAACCAAACCAAACCCAAACAACAUUUUAACCUUUAUUGAAUACCUUUGGACAGACUAAUAUUGAAUAUGAUUUCAUUGUGUUAUGAACACCCCACUCAAGCUGGGGAUGAAAUAGAUGGAGGUGAGUGAAGAGAAAUAAGAAUCUCAGGCUGCCUCACUGAGAGUUAUGAGUAGGGGACCAUGAGUUUAUGCUGACCUACAGUUUUCUUGGUAUUUGAUAGUCCUAGUAUAGGCAUGGGGUUGUCAGGGAACUGAACUGAUCCAGAGCUGGGAUUUUCUGCAGUUCAUGUCCACCCAUUCUGCACAAUGGGUGAGGGCUUUGAGCAUUAAUAAAAAGUAGAUGAAGUGGUAGUCUUUAGGACCAGUCGGGCAUGAAAGGAAGAAGGGAAGAUGCAUGAGGGAGGAGAUAAAUAAGGAAAAACAAGAGGGAUCAAAGGAGUGGUAGGGUUUUUUUGUGUGCUUUUUUGUUUUGUUCUGUUUUUUAGGGUCCACGGCAUAUGGAAGUUCCCAGGCUAGGAGUCAAGUUGGAGCUACAGCCGCCAGGCUAGGGUUCAAGUUAGAGCUACAGCCCCCAGCCUACACCAUAGCCACAGCAAUGUGGGAUCCAAGCCGUGUCUGUGACCUACACUGCUGCUCAUGGCUACACUGGAUCCUUAACCCACAGAGCAAGGCCAGGGAUCAAACAUGCGACCUCAUGGGUUACUAGUCAGAUUUCUUUCUGCUGCGCCAUAAUGGGAACUCCAGGUGUGGUGGUUUUAAUGAAGAUAAAGAACAUCAAGUGUGCUUUUUUUCCCCUCUAGUCAUUUUAAUGAAAAGGGAAACUAUCUAAAGCAGUGGUUCUCAAAUCGGGGGAAAGGAGAAGGACUUUGCAGAAGACAUUCGGCAACAUCUGGAGACAUUUUUGGUCAUCGUCAUGGGAGUUUCUACUGGCAUCUAGUAGGUAUAGGCCAGAGGUGCCACUGAGCCUCCUACAGCAUACAGAAUAGCUUCCCACAGCAAAGAAUGACCCGGCUUAAAAUGUCAAUAGUGACAUGGUACAGAAACUCUGUCCUAGAGAGAGUGCCAUUUUAAUCUGAAAACCAUGAUGUGUCUCCCCAAAUGGAAACACUACCCAAGAUUUUUUAAAUGCCAGGUUAGGGAACCCUCGUUUUCAGCACAAUUCAUACUGCUAGGAAGGUGAAAGUGAAGGCCUACAAGGAGGCGGGUAGAUUUCAGGAACCCCUGAAAGGUGGUGAGUGUGACUAUAGCCUUCAAGCCACCCACCAUGGCCCAGUACCAGAUGCCACCUUUAUAUAGCAGAAAGCCUCCUACAGAGGCUGAGCCACUGGCUCUGUCCCACGGGGUGGGAUGGCCUUUCAAUCCCUAGAGCAAAGAUGCCCUCUUAUUUGGUUGGAGGCAGCCUCUACUAUUUAAAAUGCCCUCUUUCUAUUUAUAUUAGUUUGGAUUGUUUUCAUAAGUGAGAAAUAGCUACACUAUUUUCUUCUUAAGCUGUCACAAAUAUUAGUCCAUCUCAUGGCUAUACUAUAUUCUUAUCCUGUAAUUUUUCCCCUUUUGUUAUUUAUAGACCAAUCAUCUAGAUCUAGUGGCUAGAGAAUGGAUCUUUUAUAGCUGGUUUGUUUUCCUGAAAAAGCUAGCAAAUCUUUUUGUGUUCUAAAAAUAUAGGGACAACUUCUGUACUCUAUUUUGCUACAGAAGAAGGGUCAUUUCUGAUUGCUCAUUAGAUGUUAUAUUUGGAAAACAGCCUCUGUAUUCUGCUUCUCAAAUGUGGGGGAGUUCCAUUAUUAUUAAGAUCACACAAAAUGAGAAGCCUCAGAGUCCAGUUGAGACAGACCAAACUAAUAGCAGAUGUGAACUAGAGUAACAAUUCUCUAACAAGUAUCAGAAUCACCUGGAACACUUGGUAAAACAGAGAUUGCUGGGCCUCAUUCCCAGAAUUUCUAAAUCAGUAGGCUUGGGAUGGGGGUGGGGUGAGAAUUUACGUUCUGAUGAGCUCCCAGAUGGCACUGAUGUUACUUAUUUCAGGAUCACAUAUUGUUAACCAAUGUGAUUUUCCACAUUUAUCUUGAUUAGUUCUAUUUCCAUGUUAAAUUAUGUUUGGGAAAUAAAGUCUUUAUAAUAUUUUGCACAAUAUAGUAUUUUACUCUGUUAGAAAGGCUAGAUUUAGUUUUUUUAGUAGGUAUUCCUGUGAAUACACAUAUCUGAGAGUGAAAAACCUUAAGCCUUAAGACGUUUUGCAACCUUGUGUAUUCACAGCAACAGUUGCUAUGAUUUUUAAGGACUGAAAAAUCAUCUCUUGAAAAAAACCAAUUUAAUAAAUGCUCACCAAAAUUCUAUGUAAACACAUAAAAACUUAAAAUAAGAGCCAGACUUUAGGUAAUGGGCCUGAGUAGCCAUGUUCCUCAUUUGUAUAAAACAACAGAUAGAGAACAUAUUAAUAAUGACAUCAUCCCUUUUAGUUAUCAGUCUUUUUAAUUAUUUUGGUUUAUAAAUAAUCACUAAAAGUAGAACAGUAUUUUAGAACAUCCUCCUCCCACUUUUGAAAUUUUCAUUCUGAAUUUGAAGAUAUGAUAUUUUAAAAAAAUUUUCUUGUUCUUAGUCAUUAGAAUUAAACAGAAGGAGAUCAAGGUGCCAGAGUAAGAGGAUGCGGAGCUUACUUCCCUCCACAAACACAUCAAAAAUAUAUCUGUAUGUGGAGUGAUUCUCCCUGAAAAUAAACUGGAUACUGGUAGAUUCUUCUACAACCAGGGCACACAAGACAUGGAGUUUGAUAGGAAGGGAAGAGAUCACAUUUGGACCUGUGUCCCUAGGAGGGGUAAACAGAGGAAGGGGAGGUUUACACAGGCUUGGAUAGCCUCCCUGGGGAGUGAGGCAGUUAAAACCAUCCAACACUGGCAGGAUGAGCCCCCUUAGCUUGUUUGAAAACCAGUGGAACUGACAGAGGGGCUGUAAAACACCUGGACUCUAUUGGUGAAGAGCACACAUACUUGCUUAAAACAAGGCUGAGGAAACAGAUUGGAAGUGCCUGGGACUCUCGCUAUUUCCCUGUGACCACCCCAACCUCAAGCUGUGCACCCAUUCUGGCCCCCUCUCACUCUGUGACAUAGCUCAAUAUUAAGGUGAAAGCUGCUGAGGCUGUGUAGAGUGUACAGUUGUGGAGGGUGAUGCCGGCCUAGACUUAGUGAGAUUUCUGAAUGGAGCAAGGGCAACCAUUACUGGUACUUGUGGAGGCAGUAGAUUGGGAGCAAUCUGGAACUCUGGUGUGCCAGAACCACUCCAGUGUGCACCCCAGCCCACAGUG
rnacentral:lncRNA from 1 species